GUUGGUUUGCCCAAGAGGUUAAGGGGGAAGAUUUAAGAUUUUUUGCACAUAAGUGCACAUGGGUUUGAACCCCAUAACAAGCA
rfam:Ipomoea nil DNA, scaffold: scaffold1262, cultivar: Tokyo-kokei standard.